UGAGGAAUAUUGCACAAUGGGCGAAAGCCUGAUGCAGCAACGCCGCGUGAGGGACGAAGGCCUUCGGGUUGUAAACCUCUUUUCUGAGGGACGAGACAAGGACGGUACCUCAGGAAUAAGUCUCGGCUAACUACGUGCCAGCAGCCGCGGUAAGACGUAGGAGGCGAGCGUUAUCCGGAUUUACUGGGCGUAAAGCGCACGCAGGCGGCUUCGUUAGUCGGAUGUGAAAGCUCCUGGCUUAACCGGGAGAGGCCAUUCGAUACUGCGAGGCUUGAGGUUGGAAGAGGGGUGUGGAAUUCCCGGUGUAGUGGUGGAAUGCGUAGAUAUCGGGAGGAACACCUGUGGCGAAAGCGGCACCCUGGUCCACACCUGACGCUGAGGUGCGAAAGCGUGGGUAGCAAACAGG
rnacentral:rRNA from 1 species